rnacentral:rRNA from 1 species
UACGUAGGGUGCAAGCGUUAAUCGGAAUUACUGGGCGUAAAGCGUGCGCAGGCGGCUUUGCAAGACAGAUGUGAAAUCCCCGGGCUUAACCUGGGAACUGCAUUUGUGACUGCAUGGCUAGAGUGCGGCAGAGGGGGAUGGAAUUCCGCGUGUAGCAGUGAAAUGCGUAGAUAUGCGGAGGAACACCGAUGGCGAAGGCAAUCCCCUGGGCCUGCACUGACGCUCAUGCACGAAAGCGUGGGGAGCGAAACAGG